rnacentral:rRNA from 1 species
AGAGUUUGAUCAUGGCUCAGGAUGAACGCUAGCGAUAGGCCUAACACAUGCAAGUCGAGGGGCAGCACAUGAAGUAGCAAUACGGAUGGUGGCGACCGGCGCACGGGUGAGUAACGCGUAUGCAAUCUACCUACAACAAGGGAAUAACCCGUUGAAAAACGGACUAAUACCCUAUAAUACAGGGGUCCCGCAUGGGAAUAUUUGUUAAAGAUUUAUCGGUUGUAGAUGAGCAUGCGUUCCAUUAGCUAGUUGGUGAGGUAACGGCCCACCAAGGCAACGAUGGAUAGGGGAACUGAGAGGUUUAUCCCCCACACUGGUACUGAGACACGGACCAGACUCCUACGGGAGGCAGCAGUGAGGAAUAUUGGUCAAUGGACGCAAGUCUGAACCAGCCACGUCGCGUGAAGGAAGACGGCCCUACGGGUUGUAAACUUCUUUUGUACGGGAAGAAAAAGAGCUACGCGUAGUUUAUUGACGGUACCGUAAGAAUAAGGAUCGGCUAACUCCGUGCCAGCCGCCGCGGUAAUAC